rnacentral:rRNA from 1 species
UACGUAGGUGGCAAGCGUUGUCCGGAUUUAUUGGGCGUAAAGCGCUCGCAGGUGGUUCGAUGCGUCGUGCGUGAAAGCCCCCGGCUCAACUGGGGAGUGUCGUGCGAUACGGUCGAACUGGAGGCCAGUAGGGGGAUGCGGAAUUCCGGGUGUAGUGGUGGAAUGCGUAGAGAUCCGGAGGAACACCAGCGGCGAAGGCGGCAUCCUGGACUGGUCCUGACACUCAUGAGCGAAAGCGUGGGGAGCGAUCCGG